CCUACGGGCGGCAGCAGUGGGGGAUAUUGCACAAUGGGGGAAACCCUGAUGCAGCGACGCCGCGUGUGGGAAGACGGUCCUCUGGAUUGUAAACCACUGUCCCCAGGGACGAAGAUGACGGUACCUGGGGAGGAAGCUCCGGCUAACUACGGGCCAGCAGCCGCGGUAAUACGUAGGGCACGAGCGUUGUCCGGAGGUACUGGGGGUAAAGGGAUCGUAGGCGGGACUGCAAGUUGGGUGUCAAAUCUACCGGCUCAACCGGUAGCCGCACUCAAAACUGCAGUUCUUGAGUGAAGUAGAGGCAGGCGGAAUUCCUAGUGUAGCGGUGAAAUGCGUAGAUAUUAGGAAGAACACCAGUGGCGAAGGCGAUUCUCUGGACUGUAACUGACGCUGAGGCUCGAAAGCGUGGGGAGCAAACAGGAUUAGAUACCCGGGUAGUC
rnacentral:rRNA from 1 species